GGACAUGUAGCUUAGUGGUACAGCACUUGCUUAGCAUGCACAAGGCCUUGGGUUCAAGUCCCAACACCACCA
rnacentral:tRNA from 1 species